UGGCUCAGUCGGUAGAGCAUGUGAAUCUUAAUCUCAGGGUUGUGAGUUCGAGCCCCAC
rnacentral:tRNA from 1 species